rnacentral:rRNA from 1 species
UACAGAGGUCCCAAGCGUUGUUCGGAUUCACUGGGCGUAAAGGGUGCGUAGGUGGUUGGGCAAGUCUGAUGUGAAAUCUCCGGGCUUAACCCGGAAAUGGCAUUGGAAACUGCCCGGCUAGAGUGUUGGAGGGGGGACUGGAAUUCUCGGUGUAGCAGUGAAAUGCGUAGAUAUCGAGAGGAACACCAGUGGCGAAGGCGAGUCCCUGGACAACCACUGACACUGAGGCACGAAAGCUAGGGGAGCAAACAGG